UUGAUCCUGGCUCAGGAUGAACGCUGGCGGCGUGCCUAAUACAUGCAAGUCGAGCGAAUGGAUUAAGAGCUUGCUCUUAUGAAGUUAGCGGCGGACGGGUGAGUAACACGUGGGUAACCUGCCCAUAAGACUGGGAUAACUCCGGGAAACCGGGGCUAAUACCGGAUAACAUUUUGAACUGCAUGGUUCGAAAUUGAAAGGCGGCUUCGGCUGUCACUUAUGGAUGGACCCGCGUCGCAUUAGCUAGUUGGUGAGGUAACGGCUCACCAAGGCAACGAUGCGUAGCCGACCUGAGAGGGUGAUCGGCCACACUGGGACUGAGACACGGCCCAGACUCCUACGGGAGGCAGCAGUAGGGAAUCUUCCGCAAUGGACGAAAGUCUGACGGAGCAACGCCGCGUGAGUGAUGAAGGCUUUCGGGUCGUAAAACUCUGUUGUUAGGGAAGAACAAGUGCUAGUUGAAUAAGCUGGCACCUUGACGGUACCUAACCAGAAAGCCACGGCUAACUACGUGCCAGCAGCCGCGGUAAUACGUAGGUGGCAAGCGUUAUCCGGAAUUAUUGGGCGUAAAGCGCGCGCAGGUGGUUUCUUAAGUCUGAUGUGAAAGCCCACGGCUCAACCGUGGAGGGUCAUUGGAAACUGGGAGACUUGAGUGCAGAAGAGGAAAGUGGAAUUCCAUGUGUAGCGGUGAAAUGCGUAGAGAUAUGGAGGAACACCAGUGGCGAAGGCGACUUUCU
rnacentral:rRNA from 1 species